CCUACGGGUGGCAGCAGUGGGGAAUAUUGCACAAUGGGGGAAACCCUGCUGCAGCGACGCCGCGUGAGUGAAGAAGUAAUUCGUUAUGUAAAGCUCUAUCAGCAGGGAAGAAAAUGACGGUACCUGAGUAAGAAGCCCCGGCUAAAUACGUGCCAGCCGCCGACGUCAUACGUCGGGGGACAGCGUUAUCCGGAUUUACUGGGUGUAAAGGGAGCGUAGACGGCAGUGCAAGGCUGGAGUGAAAGGCGGGGGCUCAACCCACGGACUGCUCUGGAAACUGUACGGCCGGAGUGCAGGAGAGGUAAGUGGAAUUCCUAGUGUAGCGGUGAAAUGCGUAGAUAGUAGGAGGAACACCAGUGGCGAAGGCGGCUUACUGGACUGUAACUGACGUUGAGGCUCGAAAGCGUGGGGAGCAAACAGGAUUAGAUACCCUUGUAGUC
rnacentral:rRNA from 1 species